UGUCUUCUCCAAGCUUCACAUGUAAAAUCCAACAGUGUGAAGCACAUAGCAGCCAGAAACUGUAAUGCCACAGAUCAGAGAGGCUUCAUCAUCACCAUCUUCAUCGCCGUACGAUCAGAGCGUGAGACUUCACAUCUGGAGCACAGGAGAGAUUCUGUGAUAAGUCCUCCUUCUAGCUUGUCCCACUAGCAGUCGAGCUGAGACACUCAGGACUGAACAGACUGCACAGCUUCUGUGACUGAGCCUACAAAACACCUUCUUUGAAACCACACAUGAUAGAAGGGCUUUACGUUUGCAGCAGCACUACUAAAGUCGGCAGGAAUGUUGCUGCAGGAAAACAUCCCUGCAGAUCACCAUCAUUGUCAGACUGACUGUGCCUCCUUUGUGCAGUGUCAAGAUCCUCCCUAAAUGAGUGUUCCUCAGCUAUCCUGCUUCUGUGCUGCUUGCCACACAUCAAAC